rnacentral:tRNA from 1 species
AGGAGUGUAGCUCAAUUUGGUAGAGCACCAGUCUCCAAAACUGCGGUUAUAGGUUCAAGUCCUAUCACUCCUGCCA